AAAGUGAAUGUAUCUGGUUGAGGUCAUUUAUUCAAAACUCAGGAUCCCCAGUGGUGUUUUGUCAUAAUGACCUACAAGAAGGAAAUAUCCUGUUGCCUGAAAGACGAAAUUCCAACGAGGACAAAGUAAUUUUUAUUGACUUUGAAUACUGUAGUUACAACUAUAGG